rnacentral:pre_miRNA from 10 species
AUAUAUACACACGUAUACGUAUAUGUGUAUAUAUGUAUAUAUACACAUAUACGUAUAUAUAUGUGUAUAUAUA